UUUAAGUCUCUCAAAUGUGAAUGUUAAGCACCUCCAACCAGUAUCCAGAAUUAAAAAGGAUGGUGAACUACCAAUAUGUAGCUGAAGUCUCUGGAGAGAGGUGAGAUUGUGAAGAAAACGUUCAAGAGGUAAGAGAUGUACUGUUGUCGAUGAAGACAAGUUCUUCCGUGAGAUGAAGGGAAAGACGGAAGAAGAGAAAGUUGAAUGAGGUGAAGAGAGGGUUGAGAGUGGA
rnacentral:lncRNA from 1 species